AUUGAACGCUAGCGGGAUGCUUUACACAUGCAAGUCGAACGAGUGGCGGACGGGUGAGUAAUAUAUCGGCACGUGCCCCGUCGCGGGGGAUAACUACUUGAAAGAGUGGCUAAUAGCGCAUACUAUUGGAGCGGCCGAUACCGGAUGAUCUAGUGGGUGGGGUAAAGGCGCACCAAGGCAACGAUCCGUAGCUGGUUUAAGAGGACGCACAGCCACACUGGGACUGAGACACGGCCCAGAAUCCUACGGGAGGCAGCAGUGGGGAAUUUUGGGCAAUGGGGGAAACCCUGAUCCAGCCAUCCCGCGUGUAUGAGAAGGCCUUCGGGUUGUAAAGUACUUUUGGCAGAGAAGCGGUAUCUGCAGAAUAAGCCCCGGCUAACUACGAGCCAGCAGCCGCGGUAAUUC
rnacentral:rRNA from 1 species